CAAUCCUGGAUUUCCUCGCGUCGACAUGUGAGUUCAGGAUGACGGUGGAUAACCGUUGGUUGCACUUUGGCAGCGCAUGUUGAUCGUCCGACCCAUGGUGUUACACCGCCUCGUGGGUGAUUCGAAAAUGGCAAUAAACGAGCCUCAGCUAUGUUCCAGCUUUAGAUAACAGCAAAGACAAAAUACCAAGUCCUCGUAAGCGAUUAACCCACGCCGCCUUCAAUCCCCUUAAACUGACAAGGUUUACCACCUCUUUGACUUCUCUCACCGAUACUGAUACCGGGGAGGGUCGUAUUAGAGUUCGUUUUUAUUGUAACAGCUUCUUGAACGGAGUGAACUGCAAAUGGGCAGGGGAAGCAAGAAUGCCGUUAAAGUCCAACUGUAUAGUGAAAUAUGAAAGCACGUGGAAAAAGGCAAGGAAUUGAAGACAAAUCUUGUAGUAUUCGAGGUGAAUUUACUUACAACUUAAAAGAUGCCCAGGAAUGUUGUCUUAAUAUGCUGAAGAUUGCAGGUUAUAGGUCACUGAAAUGGAAUACAAAUUAAAGAGCUGGGAACCUCAUCGCUCUCCUCGUUCACCUAGUUUCUACAUUUUUCAGUACGGAUAUAUGAUGUACAUGAGAUUGUUUCCCCGACAAAAUGUUUUCACUCAUUUUGACCUAACUAAGGGAGAUUAUGACGAGGCCUUAGAGUGGCCAUUUAUUUUGAUACGCCGAGUCUAUUCUUGACCAAGCAUCUCCAUUUCAAGACAUAGUUUCAAGAGUUUGGGAUCCAAAGCACACAGGGAACCUCGUACGUUUUGUCCAUAUGCCAACAAGUGUCAUUCGGAAAAAAUCCUCAUUCUUUUUCGGAGAUUUGGUUACUGGUUCAAGGAUUUCGGUUACUGAUUCAAGAUUGCCGGGUAUAGAAAAAAAAAAUCCAGCCCUUGACUAUUGACGAUGAAAAGAAUCCAAAGACAACCACUGCCCUUUUUUUACAACUAAAGAUACGUCGUAAAUUUCCUGAAGGAAAAUUUGCUUAGACUUCCCAAUUUACCUGCACGUGAACAUCUGAUGGCGUUACAAGACGUAAAGCCAUCGAAUAUCGUAUAGCUGGGGAAAAAGCUGUUUUUGAAAAACAUGAAACGGAAACAAGGCGACAGUCCGAUAGUCACAGAUUUUGACGUUUCUGUGGAUAGUGCUUGGGGAAUAGAAACCACAUUAGACGUAAACGAAUCAGAUGACCUGAUGCUGUUGCAAAUGCAAAUAAUGCAGAGUUACAUUUGUGUACCAUGUACGUGUAUACCAUUAGCUGAGCAUCGUAGAACUAAAUUUUGUAGGUGUCGUUAAGAUAAGCUGUUCACUCUGCGUUGAAAUGAUUGGAUGCAAUUGGGUCAUGUGCAGUCAUUGUUGGAAGUGAUGGAAGAUUGUUACGGAACGGGAAAGAAGCGGAUGGUAGGAGUUGGCUGAGUGACCGAAAUUCUUCUAUAUUUAAUUUUCUCACGUUUACCGUUUAUAAAAAAACAUUAUGUAUUGGUUUCAUUGUUUUCCUGUAUUCAGUGACUAGAAAAUCGCUAAGGUGUUUUUUGGAAAGGGGGGAGGGGAGGGUUUGUAAAGGCUUAUGUAGGGCUCAAUCUCGGUGCAUCAAUGUACUUAUUAUUAAAGUAACUUAUUUCCAGAAGAUUCUGACGCCACUAACAUGUAAUGUAUGUAUAAACAAUAAAAUCUAUUUUGAAUAAA